rnacentral:lncRNA from 10 species
UGGAAAGAGAAGAUAGUGCAUGAUCACUGUCCAGUGACUUCCAGGUCAUUAAUUAAGACAAGCUUGUCCAUGGGCUGCAUGUGGGCCAGAAUGGCUUUGAAUGCAGCCCAACACAAAUUCAUAAACUUUCUUAAAACAUUUUUUUUUUUUUGCAAUUUUUUUAGCUCAUCAGCUAUUGUUAGUGUAUUUUAUGUGUGGCCCAAGAUAAUUUUUCUUCUAGUGUGACCCAGGGAAGCCAAAAGAUUGGACACCCUUGAUUAAGAAGAUAUGAUCAAAGGCAGAUUUUCUUGGUUCCUUGUAUUUAAUUGAAAGACAAACAGGCACUGAAUUUUUUAAAUUAAACAUCUGAUCCUUAAAAAGGACUCAUUUCUCUCCAUUUAAGGUAGGAUUGCACUCAGUAGGAAAUCCUGGAAUGUGUUCCACUAUUUUUAUCAUAUUAGCUCUGUGGAUAUACCCUUUAACCAGAUAUAAGGUAACAAGUGUGUGGCACAAUCACAGAGACAGAAUAUUGACAGGUACAGCUUCCCUUUGUAAAAUCUGAAGGAGAAAUGGUAGAAGCAAUCAAAGCAAAGAAUAAGGAUAACAAAAUAGCCAUAAAGGGACAAAAAUUAUAAAGAGAUAUAAAAAGUCUUGUAGUCAAAUACAAGGAUUUUGUAGAAAGCCCAGGAUCUCCAGUGAAGUAGUUUCAAAAAGGAAUCUGGUAAGAAAACAUACAUAGAUCGGAUUUGAUAUUUACUACCCUGGCUACUAGAAAGGAACCCUGGAGAUUCUAGCUGUCUUUAGCUGCCAAUUAGAUAUCUGGAUAAUGAUGCUGGUGAAUUACUUAACUUUCAAACAUAUGUAUCUGUGUGCCUGUGUGUUAUACAUGUAUGAAUGUGUGUGUGUGUGUGUGGUGCCAAGUACAGUGUUCAGAGUUGUAGAGUCUCCUGCCCUCAGAGUUGCUCAUUGUCCAGCUGGGAGAAACAGAUAAGAGUACAGAACUAUAGUGGAGUGGGGUAAAUGCUAUAACAUGGGUGUGCACAGUGUUCUUGGAAGUACAAGUUAUUGGAGGGGAGACAUGAAAAUGAAGUAAAAAUAAAUAAAAUAUACAAAUAAAAGUGGGGAGGCAGAAUACACACAUUUCAGGCAAAGGGAAAAACAUUUGCCAAAUAAACAAACAACAAACAAAAAACUAAGCAUUUGACAGAGUUGAUGACUUCUUCCUCUUUGAAUUGCUUUCUUCAUUUGGUUUCCAUGGGAUCACUUCAGUAGCUGCUACUUCUCAUAUUCAUUUGCUAUUAUUUUAUAUCUUCCCUAUCUUCCCUAACACUAAGUGUUGUUAGAGUUCCAGUGCUCAGUCCUUGGACAUCUUUUUAACUCUCUCUGUACUCAUUCUAUUGUACUCAUUCUAUUGAUGAUCUCAUCCAUCUCAUGGUAUUAAAGACCAUAUAUAUUCUAUGAUGCCAAAAUGUAUAUCUCCUGCCUGGGACUUCUGUAAAACCUAAAUUCAACCUAAAAACUGCCUACAUGGCAUCAUCACUUGAAAUGUCUAAUUGGCAUCUGAAAAUAAAUAUGUCCAAAGUGAAUUCUUUAGCUCCCUCCUCCCACCACCUCCUCCCUAAACCUGCUUAACACACAGCCUUCCCCAUCUCAGUUAAUCCCAACUCUAUCCUUCAAGUUGCCUAGAAAAAAAAAAAAGCUUACAGUCAUCCUUAAUUCCUUUUUUUUUUCAUCAUACCACACAACCGAUCUGUCAGCAAAUCCUGUUGUUUUAACCUUCAAAAUCUAAUCACUUCUCACCAUCCCCAUCAUUAUCACCCUGGUCAAAUUCACCAUUGUUUCCCACCUUGAUUAUUGCCUUA